CGGGACAACUUAUUGACAUCACUUUAUGAACUCUUCAAACGAAACCCUAACAUAGAAAACAAUAUCAUAAAAAGUAAAUUACAUAGGAAAAAAAUUAUUAAUAAUAAUAAUUACCAAUAUAAAACAUAUAUAUAUAUAUAUGUAAGUAUCAAUAUUAAUAAAUAAAAAGAACACCGCAACUGAAAUCUACUACUAUUACAAAUGGGUGUCCGUAUAUAUAAUAAUAUAUGAAUCAGCGAGUUUGAAAUGAAAGCUUGAAUCACUCAAUCAAUAGUAUUGUAUAGAAACAAAUGAAUGAAGAGCAUAUUAUGUACCUAUAACUAUAAAUGAAAUCAAUAAGCUCAAAGUAUACCUGUACAGAAGAAACUAUAUACAAAUUCGGAGUGCAUUUAAAAAUAUAUACAGAAAACUCGUAUCAUUGAAAAUCAGUGAGACGAGGGAAGAAGAGGAAGAAAAAACAACCUUGUUUGUAUCCCGAGGAGGAAAAUUGGGUGCAGCCCUGUUUGGACACGAUCCGGAUGAAAGAGAAAGUUGAGGUCCGAACAAUAGUAAUAUUUGUUUCUCUCUCUAUAUCUCUCACUCUUAUUUACUCAUCAUCAGGUUAUUGUUGGGCUCCUGGCCUCCUGUUCUGUUUCUGUUUACUGACUUUUUGGGAAGAGGAAAGCCGGUACUCCUCCUACUAUAUAUAUAACUGUGUACAAUAAAUUAUGACAGACAAUUUUUUAGGUUAGACUGACGGUUUCAUUCGUCGUGAAAGCUAUUUUGUAUUAUAUAUAUAUAUAUAUAUGAUUUUCACAACUAUACUUUUGAGUUUUGAGUCUU
rnacentral:lncRNA from 1 species